rnacentral:sRNA from 1 species
UCAUUGACUGGCUACACAGCAUACUACUGGCACUACUGGCACUACUGGCACUACUGACACUAUUCUAUCUCAUGUUCAAUUCCAUCAGCAACUCUACCUUCAACUUCUUGAAUUCUCAAAUUCUCUACCCUCUACUUGAUCAAAUCCAAACCUGAAUCAUCAGUGAAUUUCCCUAUCAUCUUCUCAAACUUGUGUCUGGUGUCAGUAUAAAAGAAAGAGAGAAGAUGGGAAUAAAGGAAGAACUCCAAGAUCAAGAUAUGGUUGUGCAGCAUGUAACAAUAUUGCUCUCUGCUUGAAGAGAGGAUGUUGGAAGGAGUUCCAUAUUAAUUAGGACUAGCUAGUUAACUAGAUUAAAUAGAUUACAUAAAUUACACUAAAACACAUCAAUACAGC